rnacentral:misc_RNA from 1 species
UACGUAGGGUGCAAGCGUUAAUCGGAAUUACUGGGCGUAAAGGGUGCGCAGGCGGUUUUGUAGUCAGAUGUGAAAUCCACGGGCUUAACCUGGGAACUGCGUUUGAAACUACAAGACUAGAGUGUGGCAGAGGGGGGUGGAAUUCCAUGUGUAGCAGUGAAAUGCGUAGAGAUAUGGAAGAACAUCGAUGGCGAAGGCAACCCCCUGGGUUAACACUGACGCUCAGGCACGAAGGCGUGGGGAGCAAACAGG